rnacentral:rRNA from 1 species
UACAGAGGUCCCAAGCGUUGUUCGGAUUCACUGGGCGUAAAGGGUGCGCAGGUGGGUUUGCAAGUUCGAUGUGAAAGCCCCGGGCUUAACCCGGGAAUGGCAUUGGAUACUGCAGAUCUGGAGGUUCGGAGGGGGGACUGGAAUUCUUGGUGUAGCAGUGAAAUGCGUAGAUAUCAAGAGGAACACCAGUGGCGAAGGCGAGUCCCUGGACGACACCUGACACUGAGGCACGAAAGCGUGGGGAGCAAACAGG